CACGAACGCUGGCGGCGUGCUUAACACAUGCAAGUCGAACGGAAAGGCCCGGCUCAGGGGGGGAGGUGGAGUGGCGGACGGGGGAGUAACACGUGAGUAACCUGUCAUUGAGUGUGGGAUAACCUCAGGACACUGGGGCUCAUACGGGAUAGGAGUUGCUGCCGCAUGGUGGGGGUUGGACAGUUUCGGCGGUUGGGGAUGGAAUCGCGGCUGAUCAGCUUGAUGGUGGGGUAGUGGCUUACCAAGGCUUUGACGGGUAGCCGGCCUGAAAGGGUGACCGGCCACAUUGGGACUGAGAUACGGCCCAGACUCCUACGGGAGGCAGCAGUGGGGAACAUUGCACAAUGGGCGGAAGCCUGAUGCAGCAACGCCGCGUGCGGGAUGACGGCCUUCGGGUUGUAAACCGCUUUCGCCUGUGACGAAGCGUGAGUGACGGUAAUGGGUAAAGAAGCACCGGCUAACUACGUG
rnacentral:rRNA from 1 species